rnacentral:rRNA from 1 species
AGUGAACGCUGGCGGUAGGCCUAACACAUGCAAGUCGAACGGCAGCACAGUAAGAGCUUGCUCUUACGGGUGGCGAGUGGCGGACGGGUGAGGAAUACAUCGGAAUCUACUUUUUCGUGGGGGAUAACGUAGGGAAACUUACGCUAAUACCGCAUACGACCUACGGGUGAAAGCAGUGGAUCUUCGGACCUUGCGCGAUUGAAUGAGCCGAUGUCGGAUUAGCUAGUUGGCGGGGUAAAGGCCCACCAAGGCGACGAUCCGUAGCUGGUCUGAGAGGAUGAUCAGCCACACUGGAACUGAGACACGGUCCAGACUCCAACGGGAGGCAGCAGUGGGGAAUAUUGGACAAUGGGCGCAAGCCUGAUCCAGCCAUACCGCGUGGGUGAAGAAGGCCUUCGGGUUGUAAAGCCCUUUUGUUGGGAAAGAAAAGCAGCAGGUUAAUACCCCGCUGUUAUGACGGUACCCAAAGAAUAAGCACCGGCUAACUUCGUG